rnacentral:rRNA from 1 species
AGAGUUUGAUCAUGGCUCAGGAUGAACGCUGGCGGCGUGCCUAAUACAUGCAAGUCGAGCGAACUGAUUAGAAGCUUGCUUCUAUGACGUUAGCGGCGGACGGGUGAGUAACACGUGGGCAACCUGCCUGUAAGACUGGGAUAACUUCGGGAAACCGAAGCUAAUACCGGAUAGGAUCUUCUACUUCAUGGGAGAUGAUUGAAAGAUGGUUUCGGCUAUCACUUACAGAUGGGCCCGCGGUGCAUUAGCUAGUUGGUGAGGUAACGGCUCACCAAGGCCACGAUGCAUAGCCGACCUGAGAGGGUGAUCGGCCACACUGGGACUGAGACACGGCCCAGACUCCUACGGGAGGCAGCAGUAGGGAAUCUUCCGCAAUGGACGAAAGUCUGACGGAGCAACGCCGCGUGAGUGAUGAAGGCUUUCGGGUCGUAAAACUCUGUUGUUAGGGAAGAACAAGUACAAGAGUAACUGCUUGUACCUUGACGGUACCUAACCAGAAAGCCACGGCUAACUACGUGCCAGCAGCCGCGGUAAUACGUAGGUGGCAAGCGUUAUCCGGAAUUAUUGGGCGUAAAGCGCGCGCAGGCGGCUUCUUAAGUCUGAUGUGAAAGCCCACGGCUCAACCGUGGAGGGUCAUUGGAAACUGGGGAACUUGAGUGCAGAAGAGAAAAGCGGAAUUCCACGUGUAGCGGUGAAAUGCGUAGAGAUGUGGAGGAACACCAGUGGCGAAGGCGGCUUUUUUGGUCUGUAACUGACGCUGA